ensembl:lncRNA
UGCUUCCCAGGAAUUUCCAGAUGAGUUGGCCAAGCCUGGAUCCUCUCCUCGGGACCCUCAUCUUCAUCGAGGAGAAGAGCUACAAAUGCUCCUGGUCACUUUGAGCCUCCUCCUGGCCGUCAGUGAUUCCAUAUAUAAGAGAUGUCAUAUUAUGAGAUGGCUAGACAGCAUCACUGAUUCAAUGGACAUGAAUUUGGACCAGGAGACAGUGGAGAACAGAAGAGGCUGGCAUGCUACAGUCCAUGGGGUUGCAGAGAGUCAGACACAACUUAGUGACUGAAUAACAAUGAUAUUUGUCUUUCUCUGUCACUCUCUUACUUCACUCACGAUGAUAAUCUCUGUCUAUCCAUGUUGCUGCAAAUGGCAUUAUUUCAUUCUUUUCUGUGGCUGAGUACUAUUCCAUUGUAUAUAUGUACCACUACUUCUUUAUCCACUCAUCUGUCAGGGGACGCUUAGGUUGCUUCCAUGUCCUGGCUAUCAUAAAUAGUGUUGCAGUAAACAUUGGGGUGACUGUAUCCUUUCAAAUUGUGGUUUUCUCUGCCUAUAUGCCCAGGAGUGGGC